rnacentral:tRNA from 10 species
CAGGGAAUAGUUUAGUUAGAAUAUCAGCUUUGGGUGUUGAUGGUGAGGCUGUUAGUCUCUUCCUUGA